rfam:Marinomonas spartinae strain CECT 8886 genome assembly, contig: 0003
UUGAGCUGUAUGCGGGGAAACUCGCACGUACAGUUCUUAGGGGAGGGAGGCUCAGUAAUGAGCUUCUCUUACCCGAC